rnacentral:lncRNA from 1 species
AUCUCCUAAAUAUACCCUAGAUAAUAAGGUAGGAUAUCCAUCUCUCGGGCCCUCAAUAACAUCCUAGUAGGACAACGGCUCCAAACAACCUUCUAGAGGAAUAGACUCACACUAGGGUAAGUCUUGAUCCUCCAUAUUCAAGCCUUCUCGAGUCACCUGGUCGGCCCACUCUCAUGUAAGUCAUACAACUCCCUCCUCUCGAUGUGCAAGAUGACUGUCAAACUCUUAUGUCAGAUCCACUAUGGACAAGGAUUGCUUAGGCCAGAACUUACUCAACUAGUUGAUCUCCAAAGUAAGAGUCACCCGCUCCACAUCCCAUCCACUUUCCUCUGCUUGGAGAAGAUUCCAAACCCACAUCAUCUCUCCAACCUCAGUGCUAAUAAAUGUUGGCCACCGAUAGAGUGGAAGAUCGGCUACCCACGAGUCCUGAGCGAUGUCAAUUGAGAGGGCAUCUUUCACAUGCCAGGACAUCAAGGCCAAUAUCUUAGGAGCACGGGAGC